CCGCGGGUAGGCGUGCUAUACAUGCAGUCGAGCGGAGUUACUUUGAAAGCUUGCUUUCAAAGUAACUUAGCGGCGGACGGGUGAGUAACACGUAGGCAACCUGCCCCUUAGACUGGGAUAACUACCGGAAACGGUAGCUAAUACCGGAUAAUUUCUUUUUUCUCCUGAAGAAAGAAUGAAAGACGGAGCAAUCUGUCACUGAGGGAUGGGCCUGCGGCGCAUUAGCUAGUUGGUGGGGUAACGGCCCACCAAGGCGACGAUGCGUAGCCGACCUGAGAGGGUGAACGGCCACACUGGGACUGAGACACGGCCCAGACUCCUACGGGAGGCAGCAGUAGGGAAUCUUCCGCAAUGGACGAAAGUCUGACGGAGCAACGCCGCGUGAGUGAUGAAGGUUUUCGGAUCGUAAAGCUCUGUUGCCAGGGAAGAACGUCCGGUAGAGUAACUGCUACCGGAGUGACGGUACCUGAGAAGAAAGCCCCGGCUAACUACGUGCCAGCAGCCGGGGGUAAUACA
rnacentral:rRNA from 1 species